AUUGAACGCUGGCGGCAGGCCUAACACAUGCAAGUCGAGCGGAGCGUCAGACGGGUGAGUAAUGCCUAGGAAUCUGCCUGGUAGUGGGGGAUAACGUCCGGAAACGGGAGCUAAUACCUCAUAGUAUCAGUUUAUCCUUGGGCGGAUUAGCUAGGUGGUGGGGUAAAGGCCUACCAAGGCGACGAUCCGUAACUGGUCCGAGAGGAUGAUCAGUAACACUGGAACUGAGACACGGUCCAGAUUCCUACGGGAGGCAGCAGUGGGGAAUAUUGGAAAAGGGGCGAAAGCCUGAUCCAGCCAUGCCGCGUGGGUGAAGAAGGUCUUCGGAUUGUAAAGCACUUUAAGUUGGGAGGCGUUACCGACAGAAUAAGCACCGGCUAACUUCGUGCCAGCAGCCGCGGUAAUUC
rnacentral:rRNA from 1 species